GAGGAGGAGGAGGAAGAUGAGGGUGUUUGUGUGUCAGGCUUCAGCUUUUGGUUAAGUGUUUUUCUUUUGCACAGGCAUCAACAAGGAACGACAUGAGGAACAGCAUGUGCUCGUGGACAGUGUUUUUGAAGAGCAGCUCGUCCUGUCUUUAGAUGACGAUGAUGAUGAAGAAGAGUACUCAUUAUCUGUAAAUGGAGAUCGCAUGCCGUCCAGUGAAGCACAGAGCCAGUUCACUCAGGAAGCUGCCCACCCUCUGCUCUCUGCGAUCCACAGCAGCGACCACACCAUCGCACAGGCGGAUGAUGUUGACAUUAAGUACAAUGUCAGCGGAGUGACGAGGGACAGUACAGGGACAGAUGGCAGUCUAUGGGACACCAUCAACUCGGAGGAAAUUCUUUUAGCCACCGAUACCCCUCCGCCCUUUUCAGAAGACUUCUACCCAUCCUCUGCAUCCGGCUCUCCCCUGCUUUCACCUGUCGAUCUGGCUCUCACAAGGCUGAUCCGUCCCGCCUCCUCCGAGCAGACCGAUCAGAGAGGCAGUCCACCAAUGGAGACCUGUGACCUCAGUCCCAGUCUGGUGGCUCUGGAAGUGGACAGCGAAGAAGAAAGCGUCGGGCCAAAGUCUCCACUUUCCCCGCUCUCGUCAGAUGUGGAGAGAAGUGAAGACAAAGAGGAAACUUUCCCUCUCCCCUCUCCUGAUCUCACUUGCACCCGUAGCCAGUCUGCAUCAGCAUAUGAACCCACUUCACAAGUAAUAUACCAUCCUCUCAUCAAGUACUUCAGCUUAUGA
rnacentral:lncRNA from 1 species